rnacentral:rRNA from 1 species
GAUGAACGCUGGCGGCGUGCCUAAUACAUGCAAGUCGAGCGAAAAGAUCAGGAGCUUGCUCCGUUGACGUUAGCAGCGGGCGGGUGAGUCACACGUGGAUAACCUCCCUCUACGACUGGGAUAACUUCGGGAAACCGGAGCACAUACCGGAUAACAUAUUUAACCGCAUAGUUCGAUAGUUAAUGGCGGCUUUGCUGACACCUAUAGCUGGAUCCGCGCCGUAUUGGCUAGUUGGUAAGGAAACGGCUUCCCGAGGCAACGAUACGUAGCCGACCUGAGAGGGUGAUCGGCCACACUGGAACGGAGACACGGUCCAGACUCCUACGGGAGGCAGCAGUAGCCAAUCGUCCGCAAUGGGGGAGAGCCUGGCGGAGUAAGGGCGCGUGAGUUGUGGAGACGUUGGGUGGGUAAAACCGUCUUUUCGGUUGUGAACCAAUGUGGAAGGAAACGUGCACAUCUUGACGGUACCUGAACAGAAAGCCACGGCUAACUACGUG